AUAGUCCUGUAGGAUCUUUUUAGUUAAGAAAGGAUAAAGAUAGAAAAUGUAAGAAUCAGUGCACAGAGCCCUAGAAUAUUUAUUCAUUAUAUGACUGAAGUUACAGCCCUUAGGGAAACGUGUAAACUAUUAAAAUAAAUCAAAAAUAUGGAAAUGAUUAUUUACAUUAAAAUAAUAGGCUAUAGGUAAACCUAUUAGACUUGAGCUUUUGCAGUAUUGCUGUCUUAACAACCCCUCGCAAACUUGAGGGUGGGUGUUUUACGAGCCCAAAUUUGUUUCGUAGACCUAGGAACCGUGAGUGAGAUAAUGCUUUAGUGAAUAGGUUAGCAACUUGCUUAGACGAUGGCACAUAUUGAACCGACAUCUAGCAUGCUAGGACUCGAUCUCGGACAAAGUGGACGUCCAGCUUGAUGUGUUUUGUUCAAGCAUGGAAAACAGGGUUCGAAGCAAGAGCAGAGGCACUUCGAUUAUCAUACUAGGCUACAAGAACUUGAGAAAGCUUGAAUUCAAGCUUAGAAAAUAAAGAUUGAAGCCAGGUGAACUUGGUAGCUACAUUGGCCAAGGAGCAAUACUUUGAUUCAGUGCUUGACCGAGCCACAACCUUUUGUUUCUUCCCUGACCAUGCAAUGAAAGACUCAUCGAGGAAGAUGCAGUGACCUCUGAUCAAUCUCCGAUCAUCAGUGUAUGCGGCCUAAUCGGAGUCAGAGAAUCCUUGCAAGGUAUAGUAGAGGAUGGAGAUGAAUUAAGUAAUGAUACGAUAGCUGGACUCUCAGGAGAAUUUAGAAGAGGAGCAGGACCACCUGAAUCUUUUGCUGCAGUAAGUGAUUGAUCAGUGGAAGAAGGACAUGAAGUAGGCAAAGCUGAUAAAAAAGGUUUAAAGAAAACCUUUGGAUUAACUUCAACUUUAUUAGAUAAAUAGCUUCUGAUAGUGAGUCUAUUGAUACCCCUCCAUCAAUUUCAGCUACAAAUUCAACUAAGGUUUUUGAGUACACAGAAAAAUAUGGAGCAGGAGUAUAAUAACAUCAAGCAGGGCCUAACGAUAAUAUUCCAUCUCUUAGGAAGUCUCACAAGGCAAUCUUCCUGAGCAUGAGGAUAUCUUGGCUAGGGCAUUAGGGACUGUUGACCACCCUGGUCAUGUCACGGGUGUUGACUUCGAUAUCAUGAAGAAGCAAUAUUUUAGCAAGAUAUAGAAGCGAACAUCAACUUCUUUGUCUGAGGUCCAAGAGCUGAGAGAAAAGCAAGCCAUUAUGAAGCAGCAACUACUAGCCCAGGCAACAUUAUUUGACAUGUUGCUGAAAAGGCAAGUCCCUGGGAGGACUUUGUGUAAGAUUAGCCCUAGCCAGAAAGAUAGCCACACAAUCCCUUCAAAAAAAACCACACGAGGGUGAGAACGACUACAAUUGUUUGGCAGACACUCUUGAACGUAAAGUGGUUGUAAUUGAUGUGUGUACAACUGUGUAAGAGUUUUUCUACUUGUUGCAAUUGACCUCAAGUACCCAUUGCCUGUUCCUACCGAUAAGGCACACAUGGUGGCAGAUGCAGUAGGG